rnacentral:rRNA from 1 species
GAUGAACGCUGGCGGCGUGCCUAAUACAUGCAAGUCGAGCGAACAGAUGAGGAGCUUUCUCCUCUGACGUUAGCGGCGGACGGGUGAGUAACACGUGGAUAACCUACCUAUAAGACUGGGAUAAUUUCGGGAAACCGGAGCUAAUACCGGAUAAUAUAUUGAACCGCAUGGUUCAAUAGUGAAAGACGGUUUUGCUGACACUUAUAGCUGGAUAAGCGCCGCAUUAGCUAGUUGGUAAGGUAACGGCUUACCAAGGCAACGAUGCGUAGCCGACCUGAGAGGGUGAUCGGACACACGGGAUGUGAGACACAGUCCAGACUCUGACGGGAGGAAGCAGUAGGGACUCUUACGCGAUGGACGAAUGCCGAACAGAGCAAAGUGGCGGGAGUGAUGAAGGUCUUCUGAUCGGAAAGCGCUGAUAGUAUGAAAGAACAAAUGUUCUAGUAACUAUGCACAUCUUGACGGUACCUAAUCAGAAAGCUACGGCUAACUACGUG